rnacentral:rRNA from 1 species
GAAAAGAAAAUAACAAUGAUUCCCUUAGUAACUGCGAGUGAAGAGGGACAAGCUCAAAUUUUAAAUCUGUUAGGUUUACCUAAUCGAGUUGUAAUUUGUAGAAGCGUUUUCUGCGUAAUUUGACCAGUCCAAGUCCUAUUGAAUGAGGCAUCAUGGAGGGUGAUAAUCCCGUUCGAUUGAUCAUUGCGUAUUACGAUACGCUUUCAAAGAGUCAAGUUGUUUGGGAAUGCAGCUUAAAAUGGGAGGUAAAUUUCUCCUAAGGCUAAAUAACGGCGAGAGACCGAUAGUGAACAAGUACCGUGAGGGAAAGAUGAAAAGAACUUUGAAAAGAGAGUUAAAUAGUACGUGAAAUUGUUGAAAGGGAAACGAUUGAAGUCAGUCGUACCGGCGGAUAAUCAGCCUUUCGGCGUGAUUAUGUGGAGCGUGAGGAGUUAAUCACUUUCAUGCCUGCAUAUUCGUGUAUUUUGGGUGUACUUAUCUGUAUGGUAGGUUAACAUCAAUUUUGGUCGUUAUAAAAUGACUGGGGAAAUGUGGCUUUGAUUUCGUAUUGAAGUGUUAUAGUCUCUGGUAGAUACAGUGACCGGGAUUGAGGAUUGCAACGGAUACCCUUUCGGGGCUACUCGUCUGAUCUCUGAUCGUUACUCUGGUGCUGAAAGCUUGCUUACGGUUAUCAAAGUUGAUGGUUAAUAAGUUAGAACGGGUUAAAUUCGUUAAGGAUGUUGACGUAAUGGCUUUAAACGAC